rnacentral:lncRNA from 1 species
GCAUCUGAGCAGAACCAUGUCAAAGUUCCUCUUGUACAACACAUCAUUCUUGUUCAAGUAAAAGCUUCCAACUAGCCUUCUCAGUGUCUUCUUGUCAUUCUUUGAUGCUCCUUCAGGAUACUCUUGGCUUUUGAGGAAAUUCUUAAUAUCAUAAAACCACAGCUUCCCAUCAAUAAUAGACUCGGCUGCAAACACAUACGCAGGCCUCUCGAGUCGAUUCACAGCAACAUGUGGCACAUGAUUCUGCCA